rnacentral:rRNA from 1 species
UUGACCUCGGAUCAGGUAGGAAUACCCGCUGAACUUAAGCAUAUCAAUAAACGGAGGAA